UACGUAGGGUGCGAGCGUUGUCCGGAAUUAUUGGGCGUAAAGAGCUCGUAGGCGGUCUGUCGCGUCGAUCGUGAAAACUUGGGGCUUAACCCUGAGCUUGCGGUCGAUACGGGCAUGACUGGAGUUCGGCAGGGGAGACUGGAAUUCCUGGUGUAGCGGUGAAAUGCGCAGAUAUCAGGAGGAACACCGGUGGCGAAGGCGGGUCUCUGGGCCGAUACUGACGCUGAGGAGCGAAAGCGUGGAGAGCGAACAGG
rnacentral:rRNA from 1 species